rnacentral:rRNA from 1 species
UGAUGCCUGCCCGGUGACCUAGUGUUCAACGGCCGCGGUAUCCUAACCGUGCAAAGGUAGCGCAAUCAAUUGUCUCGUAAAUCGAGACUUGUAUGAAUGGCUAAACGAGGUCUUAACUGUCUCUUACAGGCAAUCGGUGAAAUUGAUCUCCCUGUGCAAAAGCAGGGAUAACCACAUAAGACGAGAAGACCCUGUGGAACUUUAAAACCAGCAGCCACCCCACAACACAUUCACACCCAUCGGGUACACGCAACUACAAGGCACUGGCAUGCGUUUUUCGGUUGGGGCGACCUUGGAGAAAAAAAAAUCCUCCAAAAAUUAGACCACAACUCUAGACUGAGAGCGACCACUCAACGUGCGAAUAGCACCCAGACCCAAUAUAAUUGAUCAAUGGACCAAGCUACCCCAGGGAUAACAGCGCAAUCUCCUCCGAGAGUCCAUAUCGACGGGGAGGUUUACGACCUCGAUGUUGGAUCAGGACAUCCUAGUGGUGCAGCCGCUACUAAG